rnacentral:lncRNA from 1 species
CCUUUUCUUCCUCGCAAUCUCUAAUGGAGUUUCUUCUUGAAUGACCAAUACAUUCUUCUAUUCGAAUCUCAAGUUAAAAAAAUAUUUUGGCAGAUUACUCAACAUCUUUUGGUUAUACAGUUUGAGUGAAUGAGAAAUUUUACAACUUGACUGCUGGUUAGAAGAGACUUGUGAAGGAUCUUGAUAUCGGUUUUAAAGGCUUUUUGGUAUUUCAGUUGCUUGAAAAUCGCCUUCAAAUCAUUAAUUUGAAAGUUGAUCAGUCCAUUUAAGUUACUAAUUUAUUCUAUCAUAAUUACCUUCAAGUAGAAAACAAUAUUAUGGUACCAAUGUUGAAUGUUGGAUUUCCAUAAUAUUAG